GAGCGGGGACAUUCCUCUGCGGUCACCGAGCCCAGGACACCAGGAUGGGGACAGAGAGACGAUGGUGGUGGAGCUGGCCAAGAAGACCUUGUAGUGUGAGGGGAGGAAGAGUGAAGAAGCACAAGAUUUUCAAAGGCAGAUCUGACCAUGCAGCAGUCACGAGCCAUGCAAACAACUCACCCUUUGGAGGUCAAGAGCAGAGUAUGACACCUGUGAGUAAAUACUGGAUCCAGGACCUGGGAGGGCACCUCUUCCCUGCCAGCUGGUGACAGAGGAAUUAUUUUCCUGGUCCCUGGUCAAGAUGUUCUCAUCAAGAUAAAAUCUGAGGGGAAUGGCUCCUCCCGUCCUCACUGCCUGGACACCCGGGGCUGGCACAGCCUUGAAGCACUGCUGGACCCUGGCUCUCAAACCACCUUGUCCUUUCCAGUAAUUACUGUUUUGCAAUGU